UACCCCGUGGUGUAAUCGGUAACACAGCGCCCUUUGGAGGCGUUAUUCUUGGUUCGAAUCCAAGCGGGGUAGCCA
rnacentral:tRNA from 1 species